CGUAACAAGGUCUCCGUAGGUGAACCUGCGGAGGGAUCAUUACACAAAUAUGAAGGCGGGCUGGAACCUCUCGGGGUUACAGCCUUGCUGAAUUAUUCACCCUUGUCUUUUGCGUACUUCUUGUUUCCUUGGUGGGUUCGCCCACCACUAGGACAAACAUAAACCUUUUGUAAUUGCGAUCAGCGUCAGUAACAAAUUAAUAAUUACAACUUUCAACAACGGAUCUCUUGGUUCUGGCAUCGAUGAAGAACGCAGCGAAAUGCGAUAAGUAGUGUGAAUUGCAGAAUUCAGUGAAUCAUCGAAUCUUUGAACGCACAUUGCGCCCUUUGGUAUUCCAAAGGGCAUGCCUGUUCGAGCGUCAUUUGUACCCUCAAGCUUUGCUUGGUGUUGGGCGUCUUGUCUCUAGCUUUGCUGGAGACUCGCCUUAAAGUAAUUGGCAGCCGGCCUACUGGUUUCGGAGCGCAGCACAAGUCGCACUCUCUAUCAGCAAAGGUCUAGCAUCCACUAAGCCUUUUUUUCAACUUUUGACCUCGGAUCAGGUAGGGAUACCCGCUGAACUUAAGCAUAUCA
rnacentral:rRNA from 1 species